rnacentral:rRNA from 1 species
GACGAACGCUGGCGGCGUGCUUAACACAUGCAAGUCGAACGGAAAGGCCCUGCUUUUGUGGGGUGCUCGAGUGGCGAACGGGUGAGUAACACGUGAGUAACCUGCCCUUGACUUUGGGAUAACUUCAGGAAACUGGGGCUAAUACCGGAUAGGAGCUCCUGCUGCAUGGUGGGGGUUGGAAAGUUUCGGCGGUUGGGGAUGGACUCGCGGCUUAUCAGCUUGUUGGUGGGGUAGUGGCAUACCAAGGCUUUGACGGGUAGCCGGCCUGAGAGGGUGACCGGCCACAUUGGGACUGAGAUACGGCCCAGACUCCUACGGGAGGCAGCAGUGGGGAAUAUUGCACAAUGGGCGGAAGCCUGAUGCAGCAACGCCGCGUGCGGGAUGACGGCCUUCGGGCUGUAAACAGCUUUCGCCUGUGACGAAGCGUGAGUGACGGUAAUGGGUAAAGAAGCACCGGCUAACUACGUG